GUUUAGCUAACGAACGUGGAACGCCGAAGCGGAUGAAAAACGAACCGUUUCGCACCAAAUUCCUGACUAUUUGUAGCUUUAGCUUUCCCGAAUGAAGAAAUCGUGACGUUCAUUGCCUCACCGACACUGUUAUGAACUAUACGUUAUACAUUAUAAUCGCAUUGUGGUUUUAGAGUGCCUUUCAUGCUUUAUCGAAUUGAUAUAACUAUUGAUAACGUAUCAUGGGUAGGACGUUAGUCGCGGAUGGGUAUAGCUCGGAUAAAGGUGCCAUCGAAUGAAUCCAGUACAUUAGUGCAAUGAGUGUCUAAUACACAGUAGCUACAUCUUCUUGUAGUGCCUAGUUUUGUGUAAUUAUUUUUAAGUUAAAUUAUUUAUAAUGAAGGACUCCGACGGAAAUGGGUGGCAACUGAAACCAGGUGACAAGGAGAAUGGCAACAAGUUGCCAGACCCUUUAAAUGGAGAGUUCCCGAAAGGAAAAGACUCGGACACAAGUUCAGAAGCCGAUAGCAAGGCAGAUGAAGUCCCAAGCAUAGCAUUUAUUACACUGUUCAGAUUCGCGACGAAAAAGGACAAAAUAUUCAUAGUUUGUGCGUUAAUAUGCUCAGUAGUGGCAGCAUGUUCUACGCCAAUCAACACAUUACUGCUAGCGUUCUUACUAGAUGCUAUGGUAGAGUAUGGAAGUUCUAUCAGAGAUGGGACACCGGACCCUGACACCUUCUUAGAAGCAUUGAUGUUCUUUGCUAUUUAUAAUACCGUCACUGGAGUCGUGCUCAUCGUCCUCUCGUAUGCCGCCACCGUGCUGAUGAAUAUAGCCGCAUAUCACCAAGUACAUGUAAUACGACAAGAAUACUUAAAAGCAGCACUAAACCAAGAUUUUGCGUAUUACGAUAUACAUAAGAACGCUGACAUAGCUUCCAAAAUUAACAGCGAUGUAGUGAAACUAGAAGAUGGUAUAGGCGAAAAGCUGGCCACUUUCGUGUUCUACCAGGCAGCUUUCUUCAGUAGUGUCAUCAUGGCUCUUGUCAAAGGAUGGAAGCUGGCUCUGCUAUGUCUCAUAUCAUUCCCUGUCACUUUGACGCUUGUCGGUGUCGCUGGACUGGUUGGUGCCAGAUUUGGUAAGAAAGAGGCCAUAGCCUCCGGCAAGGCUGGUGCCAUAGCCGAGGAAGUUAUAUCUGCCAUACGUACAGUGUACGCCUUCAGCGGCCAGUCCAAGGAGAUGGUGAGGUACGAGGGACAUCUCAGAGAAGCCAGGAAAAUCAACAUCAAGAAAGGCUUCUUCAACGGCCUGGCCAUGGGACUGUUAUUCUUCUGUAUCUUCUGCGCAUAUGCCCUCUCCUUCUGGUUCGGCUACAGGCUGUUGUCCACUGAUGAUGACUAUGAUAUUUCUACUAUGAUAGCGGUAUUCUUCGGUGUGAUGACUGGUUCGGCAAACUUCGGCAUAUCGUCGACUUUGAUGGAGGUGUUCGGGUCUGCCCGAGGCGCAGGGGCCCAGAUCUUUAACAUGAUCGACAAUAUUCCCACUAUUAACCCCCUGCUGAAUAGAGGAACAACGCCCCCUAAUAUUCAAGGAAACAUCGAGUUGAAGAACGUUAUUUUCCAUUACCCAUCCAGACCUGACGUUCCGGUACUGAAGGGAAUAAAUAUCAGCGUGAAACGAGGCCAGUCUGUGGCAUUGGUCGGCCACUCCGGCUGCGGGAAAUCUACCAUCAUACAGCUGAUCUCUAGGUUCUAUGACGUCAUUGAUGGCAGUGUGGCAAUCGACGGGCAUGAUGUCCGCGACUUAUCUGUCCGAUGGCUGCGAGACCAAAUCGGUCUCGUGGGACAAGAACCCGUACUUUUCAACACCACAGUCAGGGAGAACAUUCGCUAUGGGCGUGAGAACUGCACCAAUGAGGAGAUUGAAGCCUGCGCUAGACAGGCUAACGCGCAUCAGUUCAUUAUGAGACUGCCGAAGGGUUACGAUACAUUAGUCGGAGAACGAGGAGCGUCUUUGUCAGGAGGUCAGAAACAGCGUAUUGCUAUUGCGCGUGCACUCGUGAGGAACCCCAAAAUACUGCUAUUGGACGAGGCCACUAGUGCUCUUGAUACCUCUUCAGAGGCCAGAGUACAGAAGGCUCUCGAUAAGGCUCAAAAAGGUCGCACAACUCUAGUGGUAGCUCACAGAUUGUCGACCAUCCGAAAUGUGGAUGUCAUAUACGUAUUCAAGAGCGGUGUAGUGGUUGAACGCGGCAACCAUGACGAGCUGAUGUCGCAGAAGGGACAUUACUAUGAUAUGGUCAUGCUGCAGAACCUAGGAGCUGAAGAUACUAAUGAUAAGUCAAGACUCAUGCGGGAAACGUCGGAAACAAGUGUAGACGACGAAGAGGAUGAAGAAGAAUUUCUCGAUUUUAAAACUGGAGACACAGAAGACGACGUGGACAACGUUCCAGACAUUUCGUUCUGGAGAGUUCUGCGGCUCAACAAGCCGGAGUGGAAGAGCGUCAGUCUCGCCAGUAUUUGUUCGCUCAUGAGUGGCUUCAGUAUGCCUCUGUUCGCUGUCAUAUUUGGAGACUUCCUCGCCAUUCUAUCUGACCCGGACCCUGCUGUGGUUUUGAAUGAAGUGCGUAAAAUCGCGUUGAUAUUUGUCGGCAUUGGUGUCUUCUCUGGAAUCACUAACUUCAUCGUGGUAUUCUUCUACGGUAUUGCGGGCGAAUACUUGACGGAGAGGCUGCGGCAGAUGAUGUUCAAGAAACUGCUAGAACAAGAGGUCGGCUUCUAUGAUGACAAGGACAACUCGACUGGAGCUCUUUGUGCGCGACUGUCCGGCGAAGCUGCUACUGUGCAAGGAGCUACCGGCCAAAGGAUUGGCACAGUGGUCCAAGCAGUAGGAACGUUUGGUUUCGCGCUAGUACUAUCUCUGGUGUACGAGUGGCGCGUGGGACUGGUGGCGCUGACCUUCGUGCCUGUCAUCGUUUUCGUGUUGUAUAAGCAAGGCAGGAUGACAUACAAGGCCUCCUUUGGAACUGCUAAGACUAUGGAGAAGAGUUCUAAGAUUGCUGUGGAAGCCGUAGCCAACGUUCGGACAGUAGCAUCCUUGGGUCGCGAGGACACCUUCCGACGGGAAUACGAGAAGCAGUUGAACCCCGCACUGCAGGAGGCCAUCAAGGCCUCGCACUACCGAGGCCUCGUGUUCGGUCUCUCUAGAGGAAUAUUCAACUUCGUGAUCGCCGCGUCGCUGUACUACGGAGGAACGCUCAUUGUUAGCGAGGACAUCCCCUACGACGUGGUGUUUAAGUCUGCACAAGCCCUAUUGAUGGGAUCAUCGUCGGCCGCACAAGCGUUUGCGUUCGCGCCGAACUUCCAGAAGGGAAUCAAGGCGGCCGGCCGCAUCAUCAUGCUGCUCAACCGACAGUCCAAAAUCACGGACCCCGUGCGACCUGCUGUACAUAACUUUAAAGGCACAGGUGAAGCCAGUCUCCAAGGCAUCAAGUUCUGCUACCCGACGCGGCCGAUGAUACAGGUCCUCAAAGGCUUGCAGUUGGAGAUACAGCGCGGCAAGACGCUGGCCCUCGUCGGCGCCAGCGGCUGCGGGAAGAGCACUGUUAUACAGCUGCUCGAGAGAUACUAUGAUCCUGAUGAGGGUAUAGUGGCUCAAGACGGCGUACCUCUCCCGAAGCUGCGCCUCGUAGACAGUCGUCGCGCGAUCGGCUUCGUGCAACAAGAGCCGAUUCUAUUCGACCGCACCAUCGGCGAGAAUAUCGCGUACGGCAACAACGAGCAGAAAGUCACGCAGGACGAAAUCAUACAGGCUGCUAAACAGGCUAACAUACACAACUUUAUUUCGUCACUGCCGCUGGGCUACGACACAAACAUCGGCGCUAAAGGCACACAGUUGUCGGGCGGACAGAAGCAGCGCGUGGCUAUCGCUCGUGCUCUCAUACGCAGACCCAAGAUGUUGCUGCUCGACGAGGCCACCAGCGCACUUGAUACUGAGAGCGAAAAGGUGGUACAAGAAGCCCUAGACGCAGCUAAAGCUGGUCGCACAUGCGUGAUGAUCGCGCAUAGACUGAGCACAGUUCGCGACGCUGACGUCAUCUGCGUCAUACACGACGGCUUAGUCGCAGAAACCGGCACCCACACAGAACUCAUAGAGCGCAAGGGGCUCUACUACAACCUCAAUAGAAGAGGCUACGCUUAACUUUAAUAUAGGCUUAAUUUACGUGAUAAUAUUGUUAAGAAUAAAUAAUAAAAAAAGUGUUGCCGUAGCAAAAAUGUUUGAUGUCACUUACCACGUUGUUCUAGUUAAGAAACGCGUGAGGCGUCUCAAAUGCUGUGUGUGAUAAUUUAUUUGAAGCAUUUUUGCAUUAUUAAAAAAAAAUCUAUAAGUGAUAUUGAAGUGUACCACCAGUUUAUAUAGCAAUUUAAAGAAUAAAUAAAAAAAUAUAUUUAAAAUAAGUGUUACCUAAGCAAAAAUGUUUAAUGUUGUUUACCACGUCGUGCUACUUAAGAGGCGAGUUAGACGUCUCAAUUGUUGUGUGUGAUAAUUUCGAAGCAUUUAUGCGAUAUUUAAAAAAAUAUUCUAUUAGUGAUAUCGAAUUGUACAACCAGUUUUUAUCACAAUUUAAUGAAUUUAAAAUUCCUCAUGUGAUAAUAAUAAUUACACCUUCUCAGUGUUUGUACUUACGUAUUAACUGCCAAGAACCAGGAGAAACUGUAAGCAAUUGUAAAUAAAUAGGAUUUUAUAGUUGACCUUUAGUUGAGAUUUACAUAUUGAAUUGAUAGUUCUAUGGAAACGAAACGAUUUCCGUAGAUAUUUUUAACUAAAUGCCUACCUGCCUAAUUAUGUUAAAUAAAUAUCUAUAUUUUUUGUUAAA
rnacentral:misc_RNA from 1 species